AGGGCACCACCAGGAGUGGAGCCUGCGGCUUAAUUUGACUCAACACGGGAAAACUCACCCGGCCCGGACACCGUAAGGAUUGACAGACUGAGAGCUCUUUCUUAAUUCGGUGGGUGGUGGUGCAUGGCCGUUCUGAGUUGGUGGAGCGAUUUGUCUGGUUAAUUCCGAUAACGAACGAGACUCUGGCCUAUUAAAUAGACGAUAUAUCUAUCUAGUAUAUCGCGCUUCUUAGAGGGACAAGCGGCGUCCAGCCGCAUGAAAUAGAGCAAUAACAGGUCUGUGAUGCCCUUAGAUGUCCGGGGCUGCACGCGCGCUACACUGAAAGAAUCAGCGUGCGUUUUACCUAGUUCGGAAGAACCGGGUAACCCAAGUAAAUUCUUUCGUGCUUGGGAUAGGGAAUUGCAAUUAUUUCCCUUGAACGAGGAAUUCCCAGUAAAUGCGGGUCAUAAGCUCGCGUUGAUUACGUCCCUGCCCUUUGUACACACCGCCCGUCGCUACUACCGAUUGGAUGACUUAGUG
rnacentral:rRNA from 1 species